rnacentral:rRNA from 1 species
AUUGAACGCUGGCGGCAUGCCUAACACAUGCAAGUCGAACGGGGCAGCAAUGCCUAGUGGCGGACGGGUGAGGAAUACGUAGGAAUCUGCCCUUAAGUGGGGGAUAACCAGGGGAAACCCUGACUAAUACCGCAUGAUCUCUUCGGAGCAAGGAGGGGGACCGCAAGGCCUCUCGCUUCUGGAUGAGCCUACGUCUGAUUAGCUGGUUGGUAGGGUAAAGGCCUACCAAGGCGACGAUCAGUAACUGGUCUGAGAGGAUGAUCAGUCACACCGGAACUGAGACACGGCCCAGACUCCUACGGGAGGCAGCAGUGGGGAAUAUUGGGCAAUGGGCGAAAGCCUGACCCAGCGACGCCGUGUGGGCGAUGAAGGCCUUCGGGUUGUAAAGCCCUGUGAGGUGGAAAGAAGGGCCCAGAGGUUAAUACCCUUUGGGUCUUGACGGUACCACCAGAGGAAGCACCGGCUAACUCCGUGCCAGCAGCCGCAGUAACAC